UACGGAGGAUGCGAGCGUUAUCCGGAUUUAUUGGGUUUAAAGGGUGCGUAGGCGGGAUGCCAAGUCAGCGGUAAAAAUGCGGUGCUCAACGCCGUCGAGCCGUUGAAACUGGCGUUCUUGAGUGGGCGAGAAGUAUGCGGAAUGCGUGGUGUAGCGGUGAAUGCAUAGAUAUCACGCAGAACUCCGAUUGCGAAGGCAGCAUACCGGCGCCCUACUGACACUGAGGCUCGAAAGCGUGGGGAGCAAACAGG
rnacentral:rRNA from 1 species